GUAGGUUAAUGAAGCAGUCUCGUACCAUGAUUGUUUGUUUAUCCAUGUAAACGAGAUUAUUCCACGAUGCUAGGAUUUGGAGCGAUUGCUGGACAGUGCGAGAAAACGAAUAAUUUUCGAUGAUCUAAUUAUUCUAAUUUAAGUUGCAAGGUUCUUAGUUCGUCCGUAUUGUAAUCAGUCAUGAAAUCAUGACAAGUGAUGACAGAUAUCUUUAAAUUGAGAGUAAUUCAGUAAUCAAAAAUGUUUUAAAGUUGACUGCAGUAUCUUAGUGACUGAGGGUAUAAAGGCCGAGCACGAUUGAUAUCAGCCCUCCUUCGAUGGCCCGCGGUUAGAAAAUAAGUUCAUGAUGAUCAAAUUAAAUUAUACUAAAAUUAUGUGAGUGUAAUAUCGCCCAAGAUUUGGAUGCUUCUCUUCGAUUAAAAAUCAUACUCGCUGUUAUAUAUUCGUUUAAGUCAAGUUAUUGACAAAAUCUGAUAUUAUGGGAAUCCUGUGAGAAAUUGCUAACCAUGAUGUCAAAACCUAUUACUAUGCGAUUCAGGAUGACAUUCCCACGUAAACGACGAAAAUAACAAUUGCCGGCCGAAUACACAUGGGAGUGCAUAGCGACGUAGUUAUAUCUGAUAACUGUUUCGGACGAGUGAAAACAUCGGUCAAGUUUGAGCCAGAUAUAAAUAGAAGCAUAGCUAAGGUAUUACGGUAUCUUUGUACCAUGACUGUUUUCAUAGUAAUAAAAAACGGUUGCUCGGAUAAAAAGCCGAGUGAACUACAGCGUACAGGAGUCCUUAGCAGUUGAAGCUGGUUGGAACGAAAGGGUAUAAUUGUGAACUGAAAUCAGAAAAACAUAACAAUUUAAUUUUAAUUUUCGUUAUGAAUUACUACGACCGUUCUGUAGCAAGUGGGGAUUCUAUGCGUAUGAACCGAGGUAGAAGAAUUGCAACAUUGCCUGGAUAUUCUGGUGAUUUGGUAUUGAUUGAUCCAUCGACUCCUAUCAGACUAUACACGAAAAGGUGGAUGGCAAUCUGGCGUGACGGAGCAGAAGACAAAGAAACAAAUCUGAAGUGUGACAUAAGAGUAAAGGAAUGUAAUGAUGAAUUGAUUUUGUUGCUAAAUGAUUUCGCACGAGUUUGUAUGCCAUACCCCAUGUAAACAGGGGCGUACCAAACUUUUCUACUGCCCAGGACGAGUUUCUGAUAUGAUGUUCCUUAUACCUAACUUCAAAAAUAAUUCAGAGAAAGACUGCAACUCAGGAAGAAGAAAAAAACAGGUGUGUGCAGAAAUAGCAGUCAUCCACCACUGAACGACUAUUUGGUGGAAUGGAAUCAGCUUGCUAAUAGAUGUUGGGAUUGGUGUGAAUUUGAAGUGCGGUUACCCAUGGCGGGCAAAUCAGGAAGUGUUAUUAAUGUCGGGUUACAUGCGGGAUAAAAAAAAAGAUGAUGCUCAAUUCGGAGUAGGACGCCUUUUGUGGAUAGCUUUGUAAUGUGGGAAUGGAAUGUUGAUACAUAAGGAACGAAAAACUCGUGACAUUGGUAACAAUUCUAACAAGGAAAACACAUACUUCCAUGAUUCCAUAAUGCAUCCAUAAAUGAUUCCAUAAAGACAUUGAUAAUGCUACUCGUCAAAUUUAUAUAAAAAUAUAAUUUAUAAUGCCAAAAAGGCAUUUCGUCUCCAAUUCCUGUAUUUGUGAUUCGUGAAAUUGAUUCGAGGAUAGACGUACCCGUUCACAGAUAGUCUCUAAAGUUUGUAAGUUUUGCGAAAGAGCAGUUUGGGUACAGAACAAAUAGCUCAGAUCAGUGGUUCUCAUACGGUGGUGUGAGUAGCCAAGUGUUUGAGGGGUCUUGAAGCUGAUAGGCUAUAUAAAUAAAAGUAUGCCUAUUUGAUCCCCCUUCUUAUUUUGGAUAUUUACAUUUCUUAGUUUUCUUAUUUCUGUACUGUAUGCGAUUGGACAAAAAAGUCCUGUAAACUGAGAAAAUAGAAAUGUUAGUUGUUGUUGAAGCGUAUACUGGAAUGGAAAUGUG